UGGGGGAUCGCCAUGGGCGGAAGCCUGAUGCAGCACGCCGCGUGAGGGAUGACGGCCUUCGGGUUGUAAACCUCUUUUAGCAGGGAAGAAGCGAGAGUGACGGUACCUGCAGAAAAAGCACCGGCUAACUACGUGCCAGCAGCCGCGGUAAUACGUAGGGUGCAAGCGUUAUCCGGAAUUAUUGGGCGUAAAGAGCUCGUAGGCGGUCUGUCGCGUCUGCUGUGAAAUCCCGAGGCUCAACCUCGGGCUUGCAGUGGGUACGGGCAGACUAGAGUGCGGUAGGGGAGAUUGGAAUUCCUGGUGUAGCGGUGGAAUGCGCAUAUAUCAAGAGGAACACCGAUGGCGAAGGCAGAUCUCUGGGCCGUAACUGACGCUGAGGAGCGAAAGGGUGGGGAGCAAACAGGCUUACAUACCCUGGUAGUCCACCCCGUAAACGUUGGGAACUAGUUGUGGGGUCCUUUCCACGGAUUCCGUGACGCAGCUAACGCAUUAAGUUCCCCGCCUGGGGAGUACGGCCGCAAGGCUAAAACUCAUAGGAAUUGACGGGGACCCGCACAAGCGGCGGAGCAUGCGGAUUAAUUCCAUGCAACGCGAAGAACCUUACCAAGGCUUGACAUACACGAGAACGGGCCAAAAAUGGUCAACUCUUUGGACACUCGUGAACAGGUGGUGCAUGGUUGUCGUCAGCUCGUGUCGUGAGAUGUUGGGUUAAGUCCCGCAACGAGCGCAACCCUCGUUCUAUGUUGCCAGCACGUAGUGGUGGGAACUCAUGGGAUACUGCCGGGGUCAACUCAGAGGAAGGUGGGGAUGACGUCAAAUCAUCAUGCCCCUUAUGUCUUGCGCUUCACGCAUGCUACAAUGGCCGGUACAAUGGGCUGCGAUACCGUAAAGUGGAGCGAAUCCCAAAAAGCCGGUCCCAAUUCGGAUUGAGGUCUGCAACUCGACCUCAUGAAGUCGGAGUCGCUAGUAAUCGCAGAUCACCAACGCUGCAGUGAAUACGUUCCCGGGUCUUGUACACACCGCCCGUCAAGUCAUGAAAGUCCGUAACACCUGAAGGCCUGUGCUCUAACCCCGUUGUGGGAAGGAGCUUGUCGAAGGUGGGGAUCGGUAAUACGCAAACUAUA
rnacentral:rRNA from 1 species